rnacentral:rRNA from 1 species
AGGACGAACGCUGGCGGCGUGCUUAACACAUGCAAGUCGAGCGGUAAGGCCUUUCGGGGUACACGAGCGGCGAACGGGUGAGUAACACGUGGGUGAUCUGCCCUGCACUUCGGGAUAAGCCUGGGAAACUGGGUCUAAUACCGGAUAUGACUUCAGGUUGCAUGACUUGGGGUGGAAAGAUUUUAUCGGUGCAGGAUGGGCCCGCGGCCUAUCGAGCUUGUUGGUGGGGUAAUGGCCUACCAAGGCGACGACGGGUAGCCGACCUGAGAGGGUGACCGGCCACACGUGGGACUGAGACACGGGCCCAGACUCCUACGGGACGCAGCAGGUGGGGAAUAUUG